rnacentral:rRNA from 1 species
UACGUAGGGGGCAAGCGUUGUCCGGAAUCAUUGGGCGUAAAGCGCGUGUAGGCGGCCCGAUAAGUCCGCUGUGAAAGUCCAGGGCUCAACCCUGGGAUGCCGGUGGAUACUGUCGGGCUCGAGUCCGGAAGAGGAGUGUGGAAUUCCUGGUGUAGCGGUGAAAUGCGCAGAUAUCAGGAAGAACACCAAUGGCGAAGGCAGCUCUCUGGGACGGUACUGACGCUGAGACGCGAAAGCGUGGGGAGCGAACAGG